GACGAACGCUGGCGGCGUGCUUAACACAUGCAAGUCGAACGGAAAGGCCCUGCUUUUGUGGGCUGCUCGAGUGGCGAACGGGUGAGUAACACGUGAGUAACCUGCCCUUGACUUUGGGAUAACUUCAGGAAACUGGGGCUAAUACCGGAUAGGAGCUCCCGCUGCAUGGUGGGGGUUGGAAAGUUUCGGCGGUUGGGGAUGGACUCGCGGCUUAUCAGCUUGUUGGUUGGGUAGUGGCUUACCAAGGCUUUGACGGGUAGCCGGCCUGGGAGGGUGACCGGCCACAUUAGGACUGAGAUACGGCCCAGACUCGUACGGGAGGCAACGGUGGAGAGUAUUACACAGUGGGCGGAAGCCUGAUGCGGCAACGCCGCGUGCGGGAUGACAGCCUUCGGGUUGUGAACCGCUUUCGCCUGUGACGAAGCGUUAGUGACGGUAAUGGGUGAAGAAGCACCGGCUAACUACGUG
rnacentral:rRNA from 1 species